UUUAUUCAAAGUUACUUGGACCCCUACCCAAUUCAAAUAUUAACAUCAUUUAUGGAUUUGUUUUAGUUGAAUUAAGUUUCACUAGUAUAAAAAGAGCCUGUGUGAAAGAGUAUUUUAUAAAGUAUAGCCUUUGUAUAAAUAAAUAAAAAUAGUCUUUAAUAAAGAGCCUUUUCAUAUAGCGCAAUAUUUUUAAAACAGUCUAAAUGAACAAAAGCUAUUUGAUAACUAAUCUAUAUAGUAUGUGUGAUAACUAACUUGUUUUGAAUACAAUAUUUUACUCUAUUACCCUUAGAUUAGUGUGUAAAAACUUAGGAUUGGGGGAAAUAAUGUAAAUGACCAGGUUCUCAUUCUCUUUCUUUUUAAGAGUCAAAAAGAGGUUAGACUAAUUUUUAUCAAACAACAAAAGGCUUUGAACAAAAAUGGGUGAUGUCAAAAUGAGUUGUUGCUAUGUAUUGCUAGAGCUUUUUUUCGAAUUAUAAUUGUUAUGUAUAUUAAUAAAUGAGAUUGGGAAUUGGGUAAAAUUAUGAAAUUGGCCUACUAUAUCAAAUAUACUGUUAAAAUAGUAUCAAUUCUAGCUUAAAAAAUCUG
rnacentral:lncRNA from 1 species